AGUGGAGUGAUGAGUGCUGGAUAAAUUGCUAGCGGCGGACGGGUGCGUAACACGUGGGUAACCUGCCCCUAUCACUGGGAUAACACACUGAAAAGUGUGCUAAUACCAGAUAACAUAAGCUUUUGGCAUCAUUAGCUUAUCAAAGAAUUUCGGAUAGGGAUGGGCCCGCGUCUGAUUAGCUAGUUGGUGAGGUAACGGCUCACCAAGGCAACGAUCAGUAGCCGACCUGAGAGGGUGAUCGGCCACACUGGAACUGAGACACGGUCCAGACUCCUACGGGAGGCAGCAGUGGGGAAUAUUGCACAAUGGGCGAAAGCCUGAUGCAGCAACGCCGCGUGAGCGAUGAAGGCCUUCGGGUCGUAAAGCUCUGUCCUAUGGGAAGAUAAUGACGGUACCAUAGGAGGAAGCCCCGGCUAACUACGUGCCAGCAGCCGCGGUAAUACGUAGGGGGCAAGCGUUAUCCGGAAUUACUGGGCGUAAAGGGUGCGUAGGCGGUUUAUCAAGUCAGGGGUGAAAGGCUACGGCUCAACCGUAGUGAGCCUCUGAAACUGGUGAACUUGAGUGUAGGAGAGGAAAGUGGAAUUCCCAG
rnacentral:rRNA from 1 species